UACGUAGGGGGCAAGCGUUGUCCGGAAUCAUUGGGCGUAAAGAGCGCGUAGGCGGCCCAGUAAGUCCGCUCUGAAAGUCAGGGGCUCAACCCCUGGAUGCGGGUGGAUACUGCUGGGCUAGAGUCCGGAAGAGGUGAGUGGAAUUCCUGGUGUAGCGGUGAAAUGCGUAGAGAUGCGGAGGAACACCAGUGGCGAAGGCGGCUCUCUGGGACGGUACUGACGCUGAGACGCGAAAGCGUGGGGAGCGAACAGG
rnacentral:rRNA from 1 species